rnacentral:lncRNA from 1 species
AAGGUGAGGGGGGAAGAGGUAGGCGUCAGGGAGAAGGGGGAGAAGGGGGAGAUGGCUUCCGAGCGCGGGCGGGAGAGGAGAGGAGGAGGAGGAGGAGACGGCGGCGCCGGCGGAGGAGGAGGAGGAGGAGGAGGGUGUUAAUAUGGAGCCGCCAUAACCGCCCCGGUCCGGCAGUAGCGCAGUCGCCUCACAACAACCCGCCCCGGCCCCGCCUCUCUCCCCUCCUCCUCCGCCCGCCGCCCCUCUCGGCCGCGCCGCGCUCUACGCCGCCGCCGGUAUCACUCCGCCCCGCAGGGAGGUUCCGGCCGCCGGGCGGGGGAGGGCGGAGUGGGGGAUGCGCCGGAGAGGAGGGGGAGGGGCGGGGAAGCCCCGCUCGCCGACGGGCCGGGCAACCCCAACCGAGCGCUAAUAAAAUCGCCGCAGAGGCGCCGCCGCCUCGCGGGCUUCCUUCCUAGGGGGCGCUGUGGAGCGCGGGCGGAGGCGCGCGCGCGAGGCCUCGGGACUCUUUUGCCCUCUCAGGGCGGAAGGAACGCGGUCGGCCUGAGGAAAGGGUCGUCGCUGACCCGAGGCCUCAGAGUGCCGGGAGCGGCCCCCGCCCCUUUAAUCUUUUUUUGAGGGGGGAGUCGCGGUAACGCGGCUCUCUUGAGAUGCCGCGGAGGGUCGGCCGCCGGGUUUCAGGGCUUCACCGCCUGCUUGGAGGUGGAGAAGCGCGCUUGCUCGCGGUGGAGUCGGGCGGCGGAGCGGGGCGGCCUUGUGGAUCCGAGGCCCGGGCGGCUGAAGGAUUGGGCCCGGUCCUAACCCUCUGGUCUCGGUAGUUUUUGUGGUCUGCACCUCAGAACUGGGGCCUGAUUUCCUGGAGAGGCUGAGGCUGCCGAAAUGAGUUUCCAGUACCGAACAAUGCAACUGUAUAUCACCAAACAGUGUUUUGUUUGUUUGUUUUUAAAAACUGUUUUCCUCAGUCGGCCUUGUCUCACCUUUUCCUUUCUUUUGUUCGUCUUUUCUGUUUCAUUACUUAGGGGAGUGGGCGUUGUCCGUGUUGAAAUAAAAACUGGGACGGGAUCUUCGCCCAGUUGGCGCUUUCUCAGCGCGCUGACCUGCGGUCGAGGCUUAGAGCCGAGCUCUGGAGAGGGCGGAGGCCCCGAGCGGAGGGUCACCGCUGUACCCACAUCCUCAGCUCAUCUUUGCAAUUACUGCAGCCUCCACCAGUACUGUGACAGCAACCUUAUGAGAGACCCUGACCUAGAGGACCCAGCUAAGCCACGCUCUGACUCCUGA